UCAAGGAUAUGCUGGGCAUGCACAUGGUAGACAUGUCAUGAGUGGAGCCGGCUGGCCCGGGAGGCCCCGGGAGGCUCCUUCUCUCUCUGUCUCUCUCUCUGUUUGCUUUCCUAGCAGCUCUGAAGUCCGUCCUGUGUGGUGGUGCUAACUGAGGACCCAGAAAGCAGCUCUGGUGGAGCAGAUCUUCUGGAAGUAACGGGCAUACCCAAGAGCCAGUGCAGGCCCAGCUGGCCCUUCCUGGCCAGUGCAACCCCAGGAGCAGCUCCAUUACAGGAGCAGGAGAGUGGCUGGAGAAGCUGCUGAAUUAGCAAAGAAGAGCUAACAGGGACUGCAGAGGAGCUGACUCCAUUAUCUGAAAUAGUCUUCACUGCCAAAGGUUGGGAUCACUUUGGACUUACUUUUGGAUGCUGCAGGAACUUGGCUGCAAUGGUGGACCGUGGCCAGGACAUCCCAGGAGGUGACGCAGAAAGAGGAGUUGCAUUUUGGAAGGUUUUAUGUUACAACAUUGUCUCAUCCUUUGAUCAUGUUGUUUGGUAAGGCCCCAUGGAAACUCAGCUCACGAAGGGCUCACGUUUUUCUUCUGCUGGCCACAUCCAGCAGAUGGAGUAUGAGUGUUCGGCUUUCAGAUCUGUCUUCUGGGAUCCGUGCCAGUUCUCUGGUCAAAUAUUACAUUGUUCCUGCAUGCUUAUGGCCAGCAUUGGGCUUCAGACACAGCUCUUUUGAAUAUAAGGAAUGAAUGCUUCUCUGCUUUCCUGUACUGGUAAAUAACACUUCCACUUAUGCAGCCUUCAAAACAGAAACUGCUCUUGGAACACGAAGAAUGGAACUCAAAUUAGAGUGGACAUACAGUGUUCGUUUCUCUAGGACUGUGCAUCCAUCUAAUUCACUGCAAGGACUGGGAAUACAACUGGGAAUUUAGGCCACAGGCCCUGCAUAUCUUCAGGACAAAAUGCCCCGAGCCUGGCCUUUGAGGAACAUUAGUUAACUGGAUUCUAGGAAGUCUUGAUUCCUAUAUGGGGUUGAAAGAUAAAAGAACUCCUUACCAAACCAAUGCUAUGUACAAAGCAGACUAAGAAGACUCUUUCCUGGUGCCUUAUAGCUCCCAGAAGUCCAUUGGCCAGGCUAUCUGGAGAGGAUGGAAAUUGGAGUGAAGAACACCUGGAAGACACCAGGUUGGAAAAGCUGCUCCAUAACCAAGAUCUGUGGCUAGUGAUCUGUGAAAGCUGCUUUUGUAGAACGUAUGCGUCCAAGGUGUUUGGCUUUCCCUCCUGAGCAAUGAGAUUUGACAGUGAGAGAAGGACACUACUUUACAAACAGUGUUUCACAUGAAGAAGCCGUUGGGGGAAGAAGCCUGAAGCCUGAGUGUGGCUGGAGAUUUCACUGUGAUGCUCACACAGGUCUGUAUUUUCCUAUCAAAUGCAUGUGGCAGCUGCUUUCAUGUCAACAUCCCCUCCUUCGUCAAAGGAAUCAGAUACGGCAUAAACGGAAACGCAGGUUCGGUAGCCAAGGAGCACGUGGAUUCCCCCAUCCCCGCAUGUGUGCUCAAAUAAACCGCCAGGAAUACAGUUUCACUCCGUCGCCUCUUCCCAAGCUGCACGUCAGCAUGCUAUCCGAUUGGUCUGCCUGCGCAGAAGGUGUAGAAAGAGCCCUCGGUUGGACCACAGCUAGCGGCCCGUGGAAUGGUUCCACAAGUGAGGUGGAUCCAGCUCUCCUCAGCACCGUUGUGAAGGCUCACAAUGACCUGGGUGGAGUAAUUACCUGGGCCCUGCUCUUCAAAUCCACCCCAGGCGAAAUGUCUACAGAAUUUUAAGGGAAAAUAUCUUAAAUAAAGCCACCAUUUUUCAAGUGUCUUCUACAAAUCUCCAGCAUUCACCAUCUUUCACUGACAAGCAAAUCUGAGGUCAAAACAGGCUCUGAGUUUGUCAAUAAGACAAAUGAAACUUCUCAGGAGCCUUGUGCAUCUCCUGAGCCACCAAAAGCAGAUGUCUGUUCAUCGUGAGCACAUUUAGGAAUAGGAGGUUUGCACUAACACGAGUGACGAAAUGGAGUCGCAGCCCGUUCCACAUGAUACAGCGAGCAACACUGAGAUGGCCUACAUCUGUCCUUGGACUUCUUCCUUGUACUUUUGCAGUCCACACUGUCCUCAAAGAUUUCUAUCUACUGGGCACUGGCUCGGGCAGGGCGAGGCCCUGAAGGUGAGAUUUCAAGGAGCCUCCUUGCUGCAUUUUGUCCACAUGAAGUAGGAACCCGUGCUUUGUUAAGCUUCAAGUAUAAAAUACGCAUUGUCUGUCUGAUGAAAUGCUAGUUCCUUGACCAAAGUGGGAUAAAAUCAUUCUGAAUUCAGCUGGCAGAGCUAGAGAUGGGACUGCCUUGAUUGGUAGAACUGCUGAUCUUUUGUCUAUUGUUACACUUCACUUUUCGUUGAUUGCUGUUCCCUGUAAACUCUAAAUGUAGUCUAUUAGUCACCUGGGAUGGAUUUCAAAUGCCAUCCCCCCAUGUACCCCAACCAUGGCAGCAAAUAUGGGGAGGGUGCCCCUUGUCACCCAAAGUUCCCCAGUGAUCCAGGCAGGAACUGGGAGGAUUAACUUGCUGUUCCAACUUUGCCCUUCUGAUUGGUGUGAGAUUUUUCAAAACCCAUCACUUUCCCUAAAAAUUAAAUAUUGCAUCUAUGGGCAGCUGACCAGCCCACUCUGAAGUAAUUGAAAAUGAGAUCCCAUGCUGGAAUACAGGUUUCUGCCCUGCCCCAUGGGGUGGGAGAAAGCAAGCUUGUCCCACAAGCUGGAGCUCUUUUGGUCUGCAAAAACCAGAGCUUCCUAUUUGUAUUCUGUUGUUGUGGUUUGCAUCCUAAGCCUUUCUCCUUGUUUAUUUCACUUUCAGUGUUGCCUUUUCCCUAAUUUCCUUUUCUCAUCCCUACUCUUCCCUGACCUCAUCUCCAUUUUCUUUCAGCCUCUUGUCUUAUCUCAUUUGCUAACCUGAGAACUGGUGAGACUUUUGGAGACAAGGUUUAACUCCAUGGCUCAGCUCGAGGGCAGAAAAAUGUUAAAAGCAAAGCAGAAAUGGGUGAUCCUGUUUGUGGUUACUAGUCAUUUGUUCAUUUAUUUUGUUUGUUUAAGCUAUUUGUAUCACAUCCUCCUGCUGAAAUGCACAUGGGGCACUUCAAGAUUAAAACAGCAGUAGUUUAAUAUUUCAACACUGAGAAUAUCAGAUAAAACCCUGCUUGCAUUUAACACCAACAUUACCCUUCCCACUUCAAUAGCCCAACCAAGUACAAACAGUUUUACCUGAUGCUGCAAAAGAAGGGAAGGAGAAAAACCAACAUCUCUCUGGAGGGACUUCCAGAGCCUAAGUGCCACCAAAGGAAAGGACCAUCUCCAGCCACUCUGUGUCUCAUUUCUGACAAUGGAGGCACCCAGAGCUGGGCCUCUGAGCAGCAUCUUGGGCACAGACAGCUUCCCAGCAAAAAGGCCCUCCAGCGUCUCACUCACCUUGGCAGCUCUGAUGGGAAGUGGUCCUUGUGGUUUGCGUGGUGGGCAAAUUGAGUGGGAUCUGCUUUUCGGACUCGCUAAAUCAAUAGUGGGGAGCGAAUUCAGUGCUCAUCUCAUGGCGGCUGCUUGCUUAUUUAUAACAGGAUCAAAAUAGGCUGGGGGGUGGGAAUCUGCUCCUGCAAGGUACCCCCCUCCAAGCCAUGCCACAACUUCCUCUGUUUUGAUGUUUGGGUGGGAAGCAGGCAGGAGCAAGGGCAAGUGAUGGGGAGAAAAGCAUCACGUUCACCGUCAUUUACGCUCGCCCACAGAUUUUUCGUUCUUAAUGUGGUUUAUUUAUCUAUUUAAAAUUUUUUACCCCAUCCCUUACUGAUGUCUCGGGACGCUUUUACAAUACAAAGUGUAAAAUAAAACACAGAGUCCUAAAAAUUCAACUAAAGGUAAAACCCCAGUGAAAACAAUCAGAUCUGAAAACAUUGGGAAAAUAAAAUGGUUUUAGCCUGGCACUGAAAAGAAUACAGUGAUGUCACCAGGCCUCCUGGGGAGCGAAUUCUACAAUUGGGGCGCCACCCAAGGGGCACUUUUAGAAAGGACUGAACUGUGUGUGAGAAUUUUCUGAGUAACAGAGCACAGUCCUCUGUACAGUUAGAAGACCUCUAAUUAAGGUGAACCGUCCAAGAAAACAUGCACAGGAUUGGGCUGCAUGCGUCCAAACGCUUCCACCACUUCCAUCCUAAAGGAGAGCAAAAUGGAUUGCUUGUGCACAGACAUCGGCUCUGCAUUUUCUUCAACAUGCAGCCGCAUCUUCCCCGCAACAAAAAAGAUGGGGAAAUCUGAAAUCUGCAUUUGCACGGUAAACAUUUGCUUUUCCGGACAAAAAUGGCAUUGUUUCUAGUGAUUGUGCUUUCUGUUUCCUCGCACACUGUUGCAUGAGGGGGCAAUGAAGGCCAUUCUGAGGGCACAAAGAACUGGAGCUCCUCUGAGGGUUGGCUCUCCAUGGCAUCCAGCUAAGGAACAUGACCCGUGGUUGGGCCUCACGCUGGAAUUGCUGCAUUGUGUGUUGCUAUGAGGGCUUGCUGCACACUUGCUGCACAAGUAGCGUAUUCCAUCAGGGGGAUUAGAUCAUGCACAGAUGGGUCAAAAGACUAAAGUCUUGCACAUACCGCUUGGUGCAUUG